rnacentral:rRNA from 1 species
GCCCAGCCAUAAACACAAGUAGUAACCUCACACCUACUACUCGCCCGGGGACUACGAGCAUAAGCUUAAAACCCAAAGGACUUGGCGGUGCUUUAGACCCACCUAGAGGAGCCUGUUCUAGAACCGAUAACCCCCGUUCAACCUCACCUUUUCUUGUUUACCCCGCCUAUAUACCGCCGUCGUCAGCCUACCCUGUGAAGAACACAUAGUAAGCAAAAUUGGCAAAGCCCAAAACGUCAGGUCGAGGUGUAGCGUAUGAAAAGGGAAGAAAUGGGCUACAUUCCCUGAAGCAGUACACACGGAAGAUGCUUUGAAACAAAACAUCUGAAGGAGGAUUUAGCAGUAAGGAGGAAAAUAGAGCGUUCUCCUGAAACCGGCCCUGAAGCGCGC